rnacentral:lncRNA from 1 species
AGGGUAACUCUAUGGAGGACUCCUAGUGAUGGAGGAUAGAGAGCCUGAACCAGGCAUUUUCUGUAACCAGGCAACUUCUAGUGGUAAGACUGGGACACGAACUCGGCCACAAAACCUUUAGUUUACAAGCUAUUCUGUCUGGAAAGUAUCUGGGUGUGGUGUAGGCACAGAACAUGUGGAAGUGGCCUACCAAUAACUGGUCUAAUUUGAAAUCUAUGUCCUGAAAGGAAACCCAGAUCUGACACUGCCUGGAUGACCAGGGAUGGAAGCUGCAUAGCCCAGAGACUUAGGAUAGGAAAUAACAUCUUCUAGAAUAUGAUGGGAGCAGAUGCAGAGGCCCAAAGACAAACAUUAGGUGGAGAGAGAGCCCAAACUGAAGAUUUCCAUUUAGUUCCUCCCUUCGGAGCUCAGGAAGCUUUGGAAGAGGAAGAGGGGUGGAGAACAGCAGGAAAACCUGGUCCACACAAUCACCUAAGAAGGGCUCAGAGGGGCUUCCAGAGACUGAAGCAACCACCAUGAAGCCCGUAUGGGUCUGUGGACAGAGGCAGAUGAAUCUCCAUGAGUUCCAGGCAAGCCUGGUCUGCACACUGAAUUCCAAGAUAUCCAGAACUAAAUGCUCUCUUCAUAUAUAAACAUUGUAUAAACUAAAAGACACUGUCACAAAUGGUCCAGUUGUGCCCAAACUCCAGAUCUAAGACCAAGCACCUCCUUUCCCUCACCUUUCACAGAGAUACAGUGAAAGGAAGGCAUGUUGUGUGUAAUGUACUUGCUACUUCCACACCUUCUCUGCUCCAAGGACUUGACCACUGAAUAAUGGUAGUAGUUAUUUCCCCAGUUCUAUUCGUCCUCCUCAGCCCAUAUGCUAGGGAUAUACUCCUAAACUCAGAUCGACUUACAUAACGUUACCACUUGUCCUUUUCAGUAAAAACAGAUUCCAGUGGAUAUCCAAGACCCUAGAGAAUAAAAAUUCAACCUACCUUCCCAGAAUUACCCUCUCCAUCCAUUCCCUGCAUCACUAUAACAUCAAAUACUUCUUGACUGUCCUUGGAGAAAACUCUUUCAGCUAUCAAUACAUACAUUAUUUCUUCUGCC